UUCUCACUGGUAUAUCGGUAGAACACACGCCUGUCAAAUUACUGGUACGCGUGGGAGCUGGGUUCGACUCCCAGGUGGGAAG